GAUGAACGCUGGCGGCGUGCUUAACACAUGCGAGUCGAACGAGAAGUGGAGACGGAAACCUUCGGGCGGAAGACUUUAUUUCGAGUGGCGGACGGGUGAGUAACGCGUGGGUAACCUGCCUCAUACAGGGGGAUAACAGUUGGAAACGACUGUUAAUACCGCAUAAGACCACAGCACCGCAUGGUGCGGGGGUAAAAACUCCGGUGGUAUGAGAUGGACCCGCGUUCGAUUAGCCAGUUGGCGGGGUAACGGCCCACCAAAGCGACGAUCGAUAGCCGAUCUGAGAGGAUGACCGGCCACAUUGGGACUGAGACACGGCCCAAACUCCUACGGGAGGCAGCAGUGGGGAAUAUUGCACAAUGGGGAAACCCUGAUGCAGCGACGCCGCGUGAGUGAAGAAGUAUUUCGGUAUGUAAAGCUCUAUCAGCAGGGAAGAAAAUGACGGUACCUGAGUAAGAAGCCCCGGCUAACUACGUG
rnacentral:rRNA from 1 species